rnacentral:rRNA from 1 species
CGGGAACUCUGACACAGGUGCUGCAUGGCUGUCGUCAGCUCGUGUCGUGAGAUGGUUGGGUUAACGUCCCGUAACGAGCGCAACCUUGUCCUUAGUUACCAGCACGUUAUGGUGGGCACUCUAAGGAGACUGCCGGUGACAAACCGGAGGAAGGUGGGGAUGACGUCAAGUCAUCAUGGCCCUUACGGCCUGGGCUACACACGUGCUACAAUGGUCGGUACAAAGGGUUGCCAAGCCGCGAGGUGGAGCUAAUCCCAUAAAACCGAUCGUAGUCCGGAUCGCAGUCUGCAACUCGACUGCGUGAAGUCGGAAUCGCUAGUAAUCGUGAAUCAGAAUGUCACGGUGAAUACGUUCCCGGGCCUU